UCGGUGGUCCAGUCAAAGCAUUGCAGCAGGAUUAUCCUUGUAACAAGCCAUGGGCGCCAAAGAUCAAAAGCCGCCACGAACAACGAAAUAUUCGCUGCUAGAACAUGCUGCCAGGCUGCUGCGUCUACACUACGCGUUUGCUCUUUGAUUUCUUGGAACAAAUUCAUAUCUAAAGAUAGUGUGUCCGACCUUGAGAAGAUGGCUAUUGGUUGCUUUGAAGAAGGAAGACGGCCAUUUUGUUCAUUGUACUUAUAGACGCUUGUUCUUGGCAUGUUAUCCCAGGAUACUCUGCAGUGAACAGUGAUAGCAAUUUUUUGAGUUCUCUUGUCAACAAUAAUUAAUGAAAAAGCGGCGAAUCAUCCGUUUUUGCGCAUUGGUUUCGCGCAUUGAUUUCCCGCAUGUCAUCGCAAUUUGAAUUGUUUAGCAAUCUAAAGCAAUAAAAAACAACGUAUGAGAGAAC